UGAGCAACCUGCCCUUAGCUCUGGGAUAACCCCGGGAAACCGGGGCUAAUACCGGAUACGAGUCCGAGCGGCAUCACGCGGACUGGAAAGUUUUUCGGCUAAGGAUGGGCUCGCGGCCUAUCAGCUUGUUGGUGAGGUAAUGGCCCACCAAGGCGACGACGGGUAGCCGGCCUGAGAGGGUGACCGGCCACACUGGGACUGAGACACGGCCCAGACUCCUACGGGAGGCA
rnacentral:rRNA from 1 species